rnacentral:rRNA from 1 species
GUCUUUUUGAGUUAUUUUUAAAGUCUGACCUGCCCACUGAAUAUUUUUAAAUGGCCGCAGUAUUCUAACUGUGCAAAGGUAGCAUAAUCAUUAGUCUUUUAAUUGAAGGCUGGUAUGAACGGUUGGACGAAGUAUAAGCUGUUUCAUAUAAAAUUAUAUUAGAAUUUUAUAUUUUAGUUAAAAAGCUAAAAUAUAAUUAAAAGACGAGAAGACCCUAUAAAUCUUUAUAUUUAGUAUAAUUCAAAUUUUUUUGAUUAAUUUUAUUUUUAUUAUAUUAAAUAUUUUGUUGGGGUGAUAUUAAAAUUUAAUAAACUUUUAAUUGUGAAUUAAAACAUUAAUUUAUGAUUAGUUGAUCCAUUAUUAAUGAUUAUAAGAUUAAGUUACUUUAGGGAUAACAGCGUAAUUUUUUUUGAGAGUUCAUAUCGACAAAAAAGUUUGCGACCUCGAUGUUGGAUUAAGAUAUAUAUUUAGGUGUAGCUGUUUAAAUAUUAAGUCUGUUCGACUUUUAAAUUCUUACAU